AUGAAAACAAAAGUUAAUUUAAACUUUUGGUUUAAAAGAGAUGAAAGGCUGGAAAUCAAAAGCCAAAUGAAAAAGGGGGCUGCGUGCCCCCACACCUGCGUACUACAAAUUCUCUCCCGAAAAAAGGUGAAUGUAAAAAAGACCUUGGUCAUUUCACUCCUUAAAAAAAAACAGACCCGUUUAACUCAUCAUCUAGUAGUCGAAAAGUCUGAGAGGAAAUAUAAUAAGUGGUUAAUAGCCUGUUUACACGACACAUUUGUCCGUGUGGAGAAAAGGGACAUUAAAAAAAAAAGAGAAGUGGGUUCUCAUGCAAAAGCCCAGCUUUACACAUGCUCCUAG
rnacentral:rRNA from 1 species